CACAGCGGUUGCGUGUAGUAGCGCUCCAGCCGCACGCCGCCCGCCCCCAGCGCGUCCAGCCGCGGCGUCCGGAUGGCCGAGCCAUGCCAGCCCACGUCACCCCAGCCCAGGUCGUCGGCCAGCACCAGCACCAGCUUCCAAGUAUUUCUCCAGACCUUCUGAUGGAAGAAGUGGAAUGUGUCACAGAAGCAUUCCAAAGAAAAUGAUAGGAGGAGAGAUUGGACCUGCACUCAGUGCUCAAGAGAUGAAAAUCCAUAAUGAAAGAAAGCAGAGAAGCAGAUGAGAACACCACUGAUAAGAAGAUGGUGUAUAUGACAGGUAAUGCAAAGUGCCAAGAAAAUCCAAGCAAAAAGGAAUCUGAUAGGAAGAAUGGGAAAGAAAGCAGAAUAUGAGAUGGAAGAGAUGCAUUGAAAGAAAAAUAUGAUUCUGUUGAUAAUUUUUUCUCUCAUAAAAGACAAUGAAGAGUGAACGAAUAUUAUUAAAUGCUAAGCUUAUUACUAUCUUGGGAAGUGGGCCCAUGUGAACCUAAUGAACUUCAGCAAGACAAAGUGCAAGAUGUGUACAGACUGCGAGAACUCACUGAGGGAAGCCCUGCUGAGAAGGACUUGGGGGUCCUGGUUGAUAAAAAGCUUAACAUGGGCCAGCAGGGCACCGUUGCAGCCUGGAAGGCUGGCAGUAUCCUGGGCUGCAUCAAAAGUGGGUGGCGAGCAGGGAGAGGGAGGGGAUUGCCCCUCUCUCCUCUGUCCUUGUGAGACUCCACCUGCAGUACUGCAUCCAGGCCUGGGCCCCCAGCAUAAGAAAGACGUGGCACUGUAGGAGCAGAUGCAGAGGAGGGGCAUAGGAGAUGAUUGUAGAGCUGGAGCACCUCUCCUAUGAACAAAGGCUGAAGGAGCUGGGCUUGUUCAGUCAGGAGAGGAGAAGGCUUUAGGGAGACUUCCCUGCAGCCUUCCAGUAUUUAAAGGAAGUUUAUAAGGGGGAGAGGAACAAACCUUUUACAUGGAGAUUUAGAAUAGAUAUUAGGAGGAAAUUCUUUACUCAGAGGGUGGUGAGGCACUGGCACAGGCUGCACAUCCAUAGAGGUGUUUAAAGCCAAGGUCGGAUGGGGCCCUGGGCAGCCUGAUCUAGUGGCAGCCCUCCCCAUGGCAGGGGAUUGGAAUUGAUUCUUCCAACACAAGCCAUUCUAUGAUUGUAUGAUUGUUACUCUUUUAAGGAUUUGGAUUCCCAAACAGAAAAUAUAAUUUACAUCAAAGAGUAUUCUCUUGAAUCAAAGAAAAAAUUCCAGAAAUUAUCUGUGUUCAGUCCCCUUGGUUUUAAUCAAUCUUUUUUGAAUUUGGGUUUGAAAAAUUUCAGUGCUGUUUGAGUUCUGUAAUUAAUGAAAUAAUUAAAGUGACAGAGAGGAUUAUGGCAUCUGUGUUCACUUGUCAUUCUACACAAAGCAGGAUUGUGGUACAGUGUGGAAACUUGGACCAAAAAUUCAAGCAGCAGUAGUAACAUCCACUCUUGGACACUAAAACUCUCUGGAGCUGGGAGGAGAAUAAAGGAGAAUGAGAUAGAAUGUGUCUGAGAAACCUGCCUUUUGAGAUGUCCUAAUCUCUCCACAUACACAAAUUUGAGUAUUUCAGAAAAUGUCCUUGAUGACCAACAAUUACAGACUUCUCUGCUAAUUAAUGUGGCUGCAGAAGACUUGAAAGAUGUUUCUGGCAGCCUUCCUACCCCAAUAUAUCAGUUUUAUUGGUUGGAAGUCUUUUUAAAACAUUGAUGUACUACUUAAAUAUUCUUGCUCUUAUUCACUUCUUGCUGUGUUUCAACACCACAAAUUUGUGCAACGCCAGAUCACAAUGUACAAUGGAAAGAAGCAGUAGCAAGAAACUGCUGAGCACUCCCAUGCGUUUCUUCUGUUGUUUUUUUUUUCCAUUUCAUAACUAUGAAAGAUUGGCUUAUACAUGUGAAUGUCCCUGUGAACAUAGUUUGUAAAGCAUAUUCCGCUUCCAGUCUCUCUGUGCUGCAGUGUGCUGCAAUGGUGAGCUGUCCUAAUAAGUAUUCAGUAAACUGAUUUGAGUAUCAGAGCAGUAAAAAAGCAGCUAGGCAACCUAGGAAGCCCUGUCAGAGAUACAACACUUAGACAUGUUUGCUUAAAACUACUUGAGAUAUCUCUACACAGGGCAACACUGUUAAAUAGAAAGCACAGCCAUUCUUUAGACAGAAAGGAGUGCAGCAGUCUCUCAGAUACAUUGCUUGUCCUGUUUGUGGUCAGCGAUGAUCAUGGUCUCACAAGCUGAUUUUGGUCUUACAAGUCGGCGGCAGUAAAGAAACUUCAUUUUGUUUUGCCUUGUCUCAUAUACAGCAUUCUGCAGUUUUUGUCUGGUUCCCUAUAUCUUGAAGCUAAAUUAAUUGUAACUGGCCAAGGCUCAAGCUUGGUAAGACCCCAAAACAAUAGCUGUUCACGAGCAGCCCACAUCAGUAUUUGGGUUUCCUCUCUAAAUAUUAUAUUCUCAUAGUUUAAGUAUAGUCUUGCUUGAGAGUCAAGUUUUGAAAUUGAAAAUUAGUGCCUGCAAUUUACAUGAUGGUUAAUCUAAAUUAAAGCAUCUUCUUGAAUGCCUUACUGAAUAAAGGUAAAAUUUUUCACCA